ensembl:lncRNA
ACUGAAGUGUGCCCUGUCGAGUGGAGGCUCAGUCCCAAUUCCUUACAUCUUUCAGCACCACGGUCCUUCGAGGCACUGGCGGGCCACCCGGGUGUUGUGUGCGGGUGGAACGCACCUAGCUAAAUGAGAAAUGGGAAAAUGGCAUUACACAACCCGGAUAGCUUUCUAUCUGAGCGAUGACAGUAAAACAAAGUUUCAUGCAUGAUAAGUGGUAUGAUUUUUAAGUAUCGAUUUUUCUUUUCUAAAAUGUAUUCCAAUAUAGUUCACCUUUAUCCAAUACCAUUGUAAGAUGUUUCAGGACUGAUUUAAAUGUAAGCUACAGAAAAUAAUGUCACAGAGAAAGUGGUUUUAGUAUUUUGUAUUUGUUUUGAUAGAAUUGCUGCAACCAUUAUAAGAGAGGGUUUCUGCAAACUGCCAGUCAAGUGGUUAAAUUCAAAUGAUAUUAUAACUUACUUCUUUGACCCAGCCCUGAACAGUCACCAGUGUACUGUCUCGACCUCUGCCAUCUCUCGCAGAGGGACGAGCAUUGACUCGGGACAUAUUAAUUCCCGAGCCUCUGCCUCCAGGUGGGCGGGGACUUCUACCGCGGCAGCGAUAUAGGCCACGGUCUGAUGCCUUGUGAGCAUCACUUUGAUGCAGACCUGCAAACUCCUCAGAGGAAUAAAGGUGACAGUGUCACAGGGGGAUUUUUUUUUUAUUGUAAUAAUGACACUAGUCUGAGCGUGACUUAACAAAACUCAGCAUACUUUAUCAAAAAUCAAUGUCAAAACAUCCUUGAGGCUUUUUUUUUUUGUCUCUUAGCCUCUGGGGUGUUCCACAAAGCCGGUUUUAUCACAUAACCGGGUAAGUUAACCCAGGGUUUGCGGUAACCCUAGGUUUUCCGUUCCAAAAGCAUCACGGUAUGUUAUUUUAUCUAGGCCAGCCGUUCUCAAUCUGAGGUACGCGUACCACUGGUGGUACGCGAGCGCCCUCUACUGGUACGCGGAGUAUGAACGAUUUUUUUGAAGCAAUUUUUUGAAGUUGAAGCAACCGUUAAAGAAAAUAUGUGCAUGUACCCA